GCAGGAGGGAGAUGCAGGGAUUGUGUUCUGCAAAGAGUGAGCAACAAUGGCAAAGUGGGUGAUUAUUACUCUUUUCUUCACAGCUCUUGAGUUUGUGUGCUUGGGACAAGACAAAGUUGAACAACCUUCAAGACAAAUGACUGCAAGUUACUCUACUGUGCAAUUACUCUACCAGUUUUCCUAAUGUUUAUCACUUCUGGUACAAACAGCUACCAAACCAACAUGAUCUCACAGAAUUCCGUGUAAUGUUCACGGACUUAAUUAACCCCGAAUCUG